rnacentral:misc_RNA from 1 species
UAACCCUUGGAUUACCAUCACGAUCACCACCCAUCCAAGAAGAGAAUUGGAUGAGAGGAGCAUUAUAAGGUAGACGUUCAUUUAUCCCAAGAUUCUUCAAAGCUGUGUCGACACGGCGCAAGAAUUUUGGGACACCCUUCCAAAUUGUCUCAUGGAAGUAGCUCAUUCCAGCUCUCAUCUCAUCUUGAGGAGUUGGAGGAGUCCUUCGGAUUUCAUCUGUGCGGAAUGCAGCUUGGAUCUCCCUUUGUAAGGCCUCAUCAAGUUCCUGCUU